rnacentral:rRNA from 1 species
GACGAACGCUGGCGGCGUGCUUAACACAUGCAAGUCGAACGGAAAGGCCUCUUUCGGGGGGUACUCGAGUGGCGAACGGGUGAGUAACACGUGAGUAACCUGCCCUUGUCUUUGGGAUAACUUCAGGAAACUGGGGCUAAUACCGGAUAGGAGCUCCUGCUGCCUGGUGGGGGUUGGAAAGUUUCGGCGGUUGGGGAUGGACUCGCGGCUUAUCAGCUUGUUGGUGGGGUAGUGGCUUACCAAGGCUUUGACGGGUAGCCGGCCUGAGAGGGUGACCGGCCACAUUGGGACUGAGGUACGGCCCAGGCUGCUACGGGAGGCAGCAGGGGGGAAUAUUGCACAAUGGGUGGAAGCCUGGUGCAGCAACGCCGUGGGCGGGAUGACGGCCUUCGGGUUGUAAACCGCUUUCGCUCAUGACGAAGCUUUGUGUGACGGUAGUGGGUAAAGAAGCACCGGCUAACUACGUG